GGGGAGCCUCGGCGUGAGACCCAGGCUUGGCGGCUGGAGGUUAAAAGCAAAGAAAGCUGAACCACAAACGAGGGGACUACCCUACCCCUAAGAAAAAAUAAUCAUUACGAAUUUGUGCAAGAGCCAAAGGAUUAUAAGAGAUCAUGCAUGUUGGGGACGAAGAUACUGACCUUGAGUAAUUGCUGCCACCCCAGCCCAACCACAAGAUGUCUAAACUCAGUUGUUUUUGAGUUUUCGUUCUUUAACACUAUUGCCUCUGCUGCUAAUGUCUUGGGACAUCGCUUCUCUUGGCACAUGAACUAUACUAUGAUGCUCCUGGGACCUUCGUCACAACUAUCCCAAAAGGCAGCACCUCCUGGCAUGAAUACUGCUUCUUAAUUUUCAAAAAUUUUCUGAGGAUCUGCAGAAUAUCUCUGUGCCCCCCCUGGAGACAAAGGAGUAUUGGGAGGCUUUCUCUUCUCUGCCUAAAAACACCAUGCAGGCGUUCCUGAUCGCUGCAGCUGCUCAUGUUGGUGCUGGGUCCUCUGUAAGGGCUUAUAAAUUCACAAUCAAGGAUUAGUAGACAACCAGUAUCCAGAGACUUCUAUCAAGAAACAUAGUCAAUAUGAAUACAUUAGAGUUUCUAA